AGCCGAGACCGUGCCACUGCACUCCAGCCUGUUUACCUCUCUGACCUCAUUUCCUCCUGUUCUGUUCUUUGAUCACUCUGUUCAAGUUACACUGGACUCCUUGCUAAUUCUAGAACUCAUUAGCCUUGCCCCUGCUUCAGGAUCUUUGUACCAGGUCGGGUAGAGAGCUGUCUCCUCUACCUCUCAUGCUCUUCUUUUAGAUAGCUGCAAGGUUUGCUCCCUCACUUCCUCAAAUCUUUAUUUAAUGCCACGUUCUUAGUGAGACCUUGCCUGUUGUCUCACUCAGAAUUGACCCUCCCCCUGCACAUUUCUCUCUCCUCCCUGCUCUAGUUUUUUCCUUAAUCAUGAUCACCAUCUAACCUAGUUUAUAUCUUUUUUCUCCAACUUACUUUCUCCCCAACUCUGCUUCAUAGAUUUGUACUUGCGUUGUUCACAGCUGUACUUCAGCACCUUGAAUAUAGUUCUUAGUAUGUAGUAGGCAUCCAAUAUAAUCACUGAAUGAAUGGAUGGAUGGAUGGAUGAAUGCAUGAGCACCAUGGCUUUAAAGUUAAGCUGCCCAGGUAUGAAUCCUCACUCUGCCACUAGUUGCUACAUAUGUGAUAUUUGGCAAUUGAUUUAGCCUCUUCUGGAGAUGAUCGUUGCACCUACCUUACAGGGCUGUUGUGAUAAUUAAUUGAAAUAAUCUAUGAAAAGUGCUUUGGAACUUAGCAAAUAAUAACAAUUAGCUGUUAUUUCAACUAUCAUCCUUUUACUCUCAGUGAGUUUGGAUUUUUCUCUCUAUGGAUAAGACUGUCUUACAUUUACCUACGUAAAAUCUACGGUCACCUCCACCACCACCAAACCUCCCAUCCUGUGGCUUCCAGAGAACUUCAUGUAGUAGGUUCCCUGGAGCGCCCUUUUGGCUUUAAAAUUUGCAGGUUUCCAAAGUUAUUCCAUUUGUCCCUAGAUUUUCAGACCAUAUGUGUUCAGUGUGGCAGGUUCAUGGCUGCAGUGAUGAACACUUAUUCUCCAUGAGGAGGGAAGGGAGAAGAUUUUCACAAAGCUUGAGCAUUUCCUCCACUGCCUGCACUGAGGAGUUGCCAAGGCUUGAAAAUCUCUUCCGUGUGCCAAACCAGGACUGGACGUUUCUGGUUUUGCAAUGCAGACAUUCUAAUACUGGCAUUGACAAAUGCUCCACACUGAGCUACUGCCAAAUUGCCAGGAGGGUUUUUCAUUGUUUGUUUGGGGGAUAGGGGAACAAUAGGAUGGCCUUUGAAGAUUGUGUCUGACACACCUGUGGGCAGAAGGUAGGCUUUAAGUAUCCACCAUCUCUUCCUUUUAGAGUUUGCCGUCUCCCUACCACCCUACCACACACAGCGCCCUCAAGACUCCCUGUGAUCCUGGGAUGCACUCACUGAAGAGUGUGUGACCUGGGAUUUGAUGGAAAUGCUACAAGAGAAGUAGGCUCUCCCCUUCUGAAAUGAUGAGUGAUAAAGACCAUGCAGGUCAACUUUUCCACCACAUGGAGGGAGCCUGUCGAAGAACAAAGGCAACAGAGAAAAGAGCAGAGCUGAGGUUCAGUGAGAGGGAGAAAUUUCUGAGUGUUUGAAUCCCACAUGCCAGAAGCUGCACCACACUUGGGCUUCUCACUACAGGAACCAGUGAGUUUAUUUUUUCCUGACCUGGUUGGAUUUGGGCAUUCUCAAGAGUUUGGGGGUUGGGUGUGGGGGCAUUUAGGGGAGAGAGAAGAAUGCAGAAUGGAGAAGGGGAAGAAGAGAGCUGCCUUCCACUUUAAUGAGCAUCUCCUACUUUUCCUCUGGUGCUUCUCAGCACUAAGUCCCUUUUACAAUAUACUACUUGCUCCAUCCCCAUAAGGGAGGACACUCACUGGUAGACAAAGGGAGAGGGAGAGGAACAGAGCAGAUGCCACUGGCAUUAGUGCUCUGGGCCCAGGAUGGGGCAGGGAGCAGUGAGGCAGAUGGCUUUCCCCUAGACUUCUGGGACCCAGGAACAUGGUAAAUGUCCAUGCCCUCUGUCUUUCCGCCACAGAAUGGAGGGCAGUCAUAUUCUAAGACAGUGGUUAUCAAACUUAUGUAAGACACGAAUCAAUCUGAAAUUCUGGGAGAAUCUAGAGACCAGAGGUCACAAACCACCUGCCUACGGGGACCAUAUUUGACUCACUUAGAGUGUUCUGGUUGGUAUGCCAGGAUUCUCUAAAGAAAAUGUGAACUAAAUUGAGAUUUCAUCCCCAAAGAGAACCAGAUUUCUGCUUUCUCUUAACCAGCCAUAAGGUCUGUCAAUACUGGGUCCCAUUCCUCAAGGCAACGAUCAACUAAAGCAGAGGAGUGAUUGCCCGCCUUAGAAGGCAUGUGCCCUCCCAUUUGCCCAAUCCUCACCAGCCCCAAGGUCUCCCCAACACUGAGCAUUGCUUGCCUUUUGUCAUCACCCUUGCAUUACUGUUUUUCUUAUAGUGGAGAGAUAUUUAUCUGGACCCAAGUCUCUACCAGAAGUGAGGAAAUAAAAGAUAGACCCAAAAGACUGAAUAUGUCGGAACAAAAGGGAGAAGGUAUAUUCCUCUGUGGCAGAAAAUAAUAUUCCUCUGUGUUUAAGAGACUGGGUUCUCACACCUGAUGUAUUUCAUUCUUCCAUAUUCCCACCUGACUCUGCAGGCAUUUAUUGGCAGGCCACAUCUAAGACUUUCUCUGCAGAAAAAGUGUUCUAGAUGCACAGAUUUGAGGGCUUAAUUGACAACCUGAAGCCUCACUCUAAAUCUGCAGGGGUCUGUUGACCUCAGGUGAGAACACUUGUUCUAAGGGAGUGGAAGAUCUUUAUUAAGAUACUCCUGAGAGAUAAGUCUGCCUUCAGCAUUGUAUGAGACUCAUUUAUUUGUUUAUUGUCUUUCUUGCCACUGUGACAUAAGCAGGGACUUUGUUAUACUCACCACUAUAUCUUCAGUGCCUACAACAGCUUCUGGCCCAAUAUAAAGUUACUGAAUGAAUGAAUAAAUGAAUCCAAUGCCUCUGUAAGUGAGGGAACCGAAACACUUUUACCACCUUUUUCUGCCCUGGAUCCACUUUUUUUGUCUUCCCCUACUUGGAUGUGCUUCCCCGCUUACACUUUGGCUUACCCUUCAGGCUCUGGUCUGCUACCAAGAGGAGUUUGGCUUUCUUGAAGUUUCUGCUGAAUCUCCAUGAGGCUGGCCCCAAAACAAUAGUACCUAGCAGACAGCAUGAGAGAGAUUCACCAAGUCAACAAACAUGCAUGAGUACUUACUAGGUUCCAGGCCUAGUAGAACCCACUAGGGGGACUCAGCCUUCCUCUCAAAGAGGUCUAGUUCUAGUAAGAGAGAAACCAUCAACAGAUCAUUCUAACAAAGGGUGAGAAGUCAUGGGGGAGUGCACAGAAUGGUUUUGCAAACAGCCAGAAGCACCACUGCAAUCACCUUGGGAUGUCCAGAAAGACAUCACAGUAGAGGGGACCUGGAUGGAGUCCUCUAACAUCUCUGGACUUUUGUUUUCCUAUCCGUGUCAUGAGAAAUUUGGACUGGAUGAGCUGUUAAGUUUCCUUCUCAUUUAAAUCAUCUCCAACCUCUUUUCCAUGACCUUGCAAAGGGCAGUUGAUGGUGUUAUUAGACCUAAGCCUGGUCAGGCUCUAGGCAUGUUUGACUUUCCAGAGAGGUUCACAAAGGUCAAGGACUGGUGUGAUGAUGUGGUAAGCAGAGCAGGCAGAAGAAAUACCUAUCAGUAAAGAACAAACACCACUCCUGGCUUAGUCAUGGAAUUCUGAGAAGAAGCAGCACCCAGUGAACCAACCUCAGCCUGGCAAUCACGGGUGAGGCUACCUUUAGCCAAGGCUUGUGGCAGAGCCACAUGAGGGAGGCUCAGCAAACAGUAGCUGCUUCCUCAAACCACAGGACAACUUCUAUAUACAUUCCACAUGGGAAGACCAGCUGAUCACACAUAUAGGCCUUUUCUGCUAUCCUAUCGCAUUAAAUUUACAAUCAUAAUGAUCAUGUGUCACCAUAAAGGAAUGUAAUAUAAUAUCAGUUUGCCUUUAUCACUUUGCCUUUACUUAUGGUUUUAAUCUCUCUUCACCAACAUAUUAUAGCAUAUGCCUGAUUUUAUUCUUUGAUGAUGGUAGAAAAAAAUACCUCAAAUGUAAGUAAAUUAAACCAAAGUACAUUAAGUAGGUUAUUCUGUACUUGUAAACAAAUUGUCCUUAAGAAAACAGUAUAGGGUUUAGUAUAAAUGAAAGUAACAUUUUAAGUGAAAAAGCAGCUUGGCAAGUAAGUUGCUUUUAAAAUAGGUGAUUCAAAUCACUGAGUACUAUUCCAACAAAUGUAACUAUAAUAUUCUCAAAUGUGAUUUAUAAUAUUUAAACAUAGGACAGGGAUAAAGAAUUGAGGAAAAUUGUUUUUUUUUUCUGUUUUGUUAUCAAAAACUCCCAAUCAAAAAAUCUGUUACAUUUCAGUAUGUGCCAACAAUUCUAAAAUAAAUACUAAAGUCAAGUCUUGUUUCUUAUAAAAUGCCAAAAUAAAUAAAUAAAUAAAUAAAUAAGAGAGAGAGAAAGCAUCAUGCUGGUAAGUCCUGCCAAUUUAUCUGGCUUUUCUCUGGCUUUUCCAAUGCUUGCAGGAAAGGAGUAUUUUUUUUAUUACAAGUUUCUCUGAGCCAGUUAUUCUUUUCUAAAUUUUCUCCCGUUUUUAAAAUCCAUACUAAUUAAAAGAGGCAAAUUUGUCUGACAAAGCCAUCAGGCAAAUCUUUGUCUUUCUUAUAUUUUUAGCCCAAGGUCUACAAUGCCUUCUACUUUGCCACAACCACAAAGUUCCCCCUGCCACAUCUUCACUGACAACAGAUUAUACUGUGAUCUAUUGAUUCCAGCCAUUGAAUGGACAAAAAUGAUAGCAUAAGAUGAUAUGAAUAAAUACAUAGAUGAUCACUGUAGCAACUGGGAAGUCAGAAGAUAGUUAUAUGCCAACAUCCCACACAGAGACCACCACAAAAUAAAACACAAACUAACAAAGCUUAUUCAAGAAGAAGUAGAUUGCUGAUGUACCUUCAGAAUAAAACUAAAUAAAUAAACAAUUAAAAAGUGGAUAA